rnacentral:lncRNA from 1 species
AACGCCUCCUACAGAAUGAGCAUACCACUUUUUUGCUCUUCCUAAAAGGGAGAAUGGAAAUAAUUUCCAUUUAAGGGUUUCUUGUGUCAUGCCAGAAAUAGAUCGGCAAGAGCACAACUGCUCGAAUUCUCUAAGGUGGGUGUAUGGAUCUUCAUCUACUUGCCCAGAGAAGGGUUGCUCCUGAAUCAUGGCUAUUAGAUCAGGGCCGAGGUCGUAGCCAUCUGUAAGAAUUGGAUGUGAUGAUGGUGGUGGCUCUAAUAACUCGCCCUUUGGAGCAGAGAAUUUAUAGAUAGGAGUGAAAUCCAUGUGGUGUGGUGAAAAUGGUAAGGUGAGUGUGGUAAAAAAGGAAAAGAAAAAAGGAUACACGGACGACUUGGUUCGAAACUAGCACAGCUACCGUUCCCCGGCAACGGCGCCAGAAAGCUUGUUGGGUAUUUUAAACGCAAACAGAAAAAUCCGCAAGCGCACGGAUACCGAUGUAGCCUUCACCCGGGAGUAUUCCAGAGUAUCGAUUUUCCACAGAGAACGUGAGUGUACUAAUUAAGAUCCAAGAUCGCCCAAGGAUAACUAUAUAAUUAUUUUUGGUGGGAAGAGAGGAAGUUUCCUGAGAGUUCUCUAGUUGAUCUAAGAAUCAAGAAUUACUUCAAGAUUAUCUAUUUCGGGACAUCAGAACACUAACCACAGAAAGAGAUGAGAAGGGGGCUAGGAAGCUCUGACUACGGUCCUACAAACACCGAUCCGAACGAGGUGGAAUACGUCGACCGUUAGGGCUGUCACUACCCUAAGGCUACCACAACAAUCCGCAGGAUUGGGUGCAAUUCCAGGUAAUUGCAAGACUAAACACCACGUCUAAUCUAUUAAUUACUACUCUAAUGUUGCAAAGAUUAGAGCACUUGAUGCAAGCGGGAAUCCAAUAAAUAACUUGAAUGUAAAUAAAAGUAAUUAAAGAACUCAGGAUUAUGAAUUGAAGAACCUGGAGAACGAUGAAGAACGAACCAGUUGCUGCAAAAGUACAAUGUUGAGGAAGAUCCGACAGAUCCGGCUCCUCCUCCGCUCUCCUCUUCUCUCUCCCUAUUUUCUAGAUUACAACUAGAACUAACUAGAACUAGAACUAGAAGAACUAGAACUAGAACUAGAUGAACUAGAACUAGAUCUAGAUGAACUAGAGGUAGAACUAGAAGAACUAGAGGGAUCCUCUCUACUUGGAUGAAGAAUUGAAACCCUAACUUUGAUUCUGUAGAAGAGGUAUGCUCUCCAGGGGCCAGGGGGCCUUGCUUAUAUAGUCUUUUCAGAUGAAUCUGGGCCGUCGGAUCAAACCGACAUUGAUCGUGUGGUUUUCCUUGAAGUAUUAGGUCGGUGGAGCAUGAUCCCCGAACUUCGCCCUGAUUGGUCCAGGGGGGAGGGCGGGCGCCCAGUAAGGGAGGGCGGGCGCCCAGUGCCCGGCUCCGUUACGUCUCCCGUUCGCUCCCGUGGCUUCUGGACUCUUCUAGAUGGUAGAAAAUUGCGCGGCACGUUAAUAUCUCUAUGUAAACCCGACGUGUGGGCCUUUCUUCCGUAUUUCCUGAUAACCCCCUGCAGAAAUAGACAAACACCAAAACUUGUGGAAUUCUGUCAGAUAAAACCCUAAGUCUAGGUGUUGGUUGCAUUUAGAUCCUUUUCCAUGAUUAGUUGAUGGUUAAAUGUGAGCAUUAAGGACCGUCAACAAGCUCCCCCAAGCUUAACCUUUGCUCGUCCCUGAGCAAAGCUAAAAUCAGCAAGAAAACAGGGGUUACUUUUAUGCCUCUUACUACAGGGUUUUUAAGGUCUUAAGUGAUUGAAAAACAGAACGAUCAAGUCAAGCACUAUGUCUCAAGUUCUUCUGUCUUAGCUUUGUUCUGGAGUAUUUUUGUAAGUUCCCAAAAUAAAACUGAGGCUUUUGCCUUUUUCUCGAAGGAUAUAUAAGUAGAGCUUUAAAAGUUUUAGCAUACUUACUUUGUAUUUUGCUAUGUCAAUGCUCGGAGUAAGGGAGAGGAAUGUCAUACUCCUAGAUCAAGACCUUUGACCUUUCUGAAAAGUUUGUCAUCUCUUACUGGCAUAUUGCUUAUUAGAGGGACCAUGGGCUAUCAUUUUUUUCUCUUUUUUUUUCUUUUUUUUCAGUCUCUCUUUUUUUUUCAAGUGGGCAGCAAGUACCCCUAAUUCUACUGUCGGACACAUGUCCAUUUUUUCCACUCAGGUGGGUAUCUUUGUACCCCUAAUUCUACUUCGGACACUUGUCCAUUUUUACCUCUCGUCUCACUCUCUUCUUUUUUUUUGAAUCAAAUUUUUGCAUAGUCCCAUGCCUCUAACGCAAUAAUACUUCGGAAGAGUGAAUCUUUUAUAUUUUUAGAACAAAAAGAUCUUGAUCUUGGGAGCAUGAUAAUUCUCUCAACCAAAACUACAAGAAUUAACAAUGGCUUGAACAAAGCAAGUGCCCACAGUUUUAAUAUUUAUAUCUUAUAAGACUCUAGGUAUUAUGAUCUCAUAUAUUUUUUUAUGAAUUUUUAGAUUUUCAAAAGAUAAAAUCUCCAGAACUCUAGCAAAACUUGGAACAAGUUAAAUAGUAGCUCAGACCUUCUCAUAUCAUGUUUGUCAAUUACCUAGACUUGAAUCAAACUUUUUUUAUUUUUAUUUAAAACUUAGAAUUACACAAAACUAUUGUAUAUUACUCAAAAGAAACACUUUGUUUGGUUUCAUGGUUAUGCAUUUUUUUAUUUAUUUAUUUAUUUCCGAAUACUAGAAAAUAAAACCAAAGGAAGAAAAGUAAUACUUAUCUAGAUACACGUGGGGGUGCCUCCCCCAAGCUGGAUGUUGACAUAGUCGUUCACUCUUGUGGCCUGCAUGUUUGGUCUCACUCUUCUUAAGCUUCAAAAUCCUGCACAACCCAAAUAGACAACAAAACUCGUGGAACAUGUUAAGGGUUAGGUAAUUGUCUAGAGCUUAUGAGAGCUUAAUAUGAGAAUUCUAUGAACUCAAUCACAUCAAGUUCCUCUACCGGGUUGUUUUGUGGCUCAAGAUAGAUUUUCAAGCGUUGACCAUUUACCUUAAAAGUGUUACCUAUGUCAUCUUGGAUGGUAAUGGCUCCAUGAGUUGAAGUGUCAAUAACCUUGUAUGGUCCAUCCCACUUACUUCGUAGCUUACCAUGCCCAAAGAGCUUAACUCUUGAAUUGAAUAGUAGAACCUUAUCUCCAGGCUUAAACUCCUUGUGCUUGAUUCUCUUAUCAUGCCAUCGUUUUGUUCUCUCUUUAUAGAUCCUUGAAUUGUGGUAGGCUUUCUCUCUCCAUUCUUCUAGCUCAGAUAGUUGCAUCAGACGAUUCUCGCUAGCAAGGUGGUGAUCCAUGUUCCAUUUCUUGAGUGCCCAAUGAGCCUUAAACUCUACUUCCACAGGCAAGUGACAGGUUUUUCCAUAUACAAGUUGAUAAGGUGACAUGCCUAUGGGUGUUUUGAAUGCAGUUCUAUAUGCCCAAAGUGCAUCAGGAAGUUUGUCCUUCCACCCCUUACCCAUCUCAUCUACGGUCUUUUGUAAAAUAUUUUUGAUUUGUUUGUUAGAUGUUUCGGCUUGACCGCUAGUCUGAGGAUGGUAUGGUGUUGCGACGUUGUGUCGAACUCCAUGAUCAGUUAGGUACUUCCGGAAGAUUUUGUCGAUGAAGUGGGAACCUCCAUCGCUUAUAACUAUCCGGGGUAUACCAAAGCGAGGAAAGAUUACUUCAUGGAACAUUCUCUUGGCAUGUUUUGAAUCAGCUGAUUGACAAGGUAAGGCUUCUACCCAUUUGGACACGUAGUCCACGGCUACUAAGAUAUAUUCGCAAUUCCCGGACAUAGGGAAUGGCCCCAUGAAAUCAAUGCCCCAUACAUCGAAAAGUUCUACUUGAAGAUUAUUUGUGAGAGGCAUUUCAUUUCGUGAGUUGAUAUUCCCAUGUUUUUGACACCGGUGGCAUCUCCUGACAAAGUCCUUUGUAUCUUCAUACAUCGUUGGCCAGAAAAAACCACUUUGCCAAAUUUUAGCAUGUGUCCGAAAUGCUCCAUAGUGUCCUCCAUAUGGCGAGGCAUGGCAUCUUUCCAUAAUUUGAGUAGCCUCAACCAUAGGAACACACCUUCUCAAGAGUCCAUCAGCGCAGACUCGGAAAAGAUAUGGCUCAUCCCAAAGGUGGAAACGACUAUCGUGAAGUAACUUCCUUUUGUUUGCACCAGGUGGGACAUAGCCUUUCACUAUAAAGUUUACGAUGUCUGCGUACCAUGGAUCUGCAUGUGUUAUCUUAAGUAGGGUGUCAUCCCUUAGGUAGUCAUUUAUGGGAAGCUCAUCAUGUGUUUCCUUAUAUUGAAGCCUAGACAAGUGGUCGGCUACAGAAUUCUCAACUCCCUUCCUAUCUCGGAUUUCUAUGUCAAAGUCUUGGAGUAGAAGAAUCCAUCGAAUUAGACGAGGCUUAGCAUCUUUCUUAGUGAGGAGGUACUUGAGAGCAGCAUGGUCUGAAUAGAUUAUUAUCUUUGCCCCCACUAAGUAAGAUCUAAACUUGUCUAUAGCAAAGACAACAGCCAAAAGCUCUUUUUCAGUUGUAGUGUAAUUGAGUUGUGGUCCAGAUAAGGUUUUGCUAGCGUAGGAUAUGGCAUAAUGCUUUUUAUCCUUGGUUUGUCCUAAAACGGCACCAACCGCAAAAUCGCUAGCAUCACACAUGAUCUCAAAAGGAAGAUUCCAAUCAGGUGGUUGGAUAAUCGGGGCUGAGAUGAGUGCUUUCUUAAGAGUUUGAAAAGAUUCAUGACACUCAUCACUAAAGAUGAAAGGUGCAUCCUUAGCUAGGAGAUUAGUUAGGGGUCUAGCAAUUUGAGAGAAAUUCUUGAUAAAGCGUCUAUAGAACCCUGCAUGUCCCAAAAAGCUACGGAUUCCUUUCACAUUCGUGGGAGGUGGAAGUUUUUCAAUAACUUCAAUCUUUGCUUUGUCCACUUCUAUACCACGUUCGGACACUUUAUGUCCUAGCACUAUUCCUUCCUGAACCAUAAAAUGGCAUUUCUCCCAGUUCAGGAUUAAGUGUUUUUCUUCACAUCGCUGCAAGACUCUAUCUAAAUUCUCUAAACAAUGAUCAAAGGUUUUGCCAUAGACGGUAAAAUCAUCCAUGAAAACCUCCAUGAUUUUCUCAAUCAUGUCCGAGAAAAUAGACAUCAUGCACCGUUGGAAAGAAGCUGGAGCAUUGCACAAUCCGAACGACAUUCGUCGGUAUGCAUAAGUUCCAUACGGGCAUGUAAAGGUAGUCUUUUCUUGGUCAUCUGGGUGGAUUGGGAUUUGGUGAUAUCCAGAAUAACCAUCAAGGAAACAAAAGAAAGAGUGGUUUGCAAGCCGUUCCAACAUUUCAUCAAUGAAGGGUAACGGAAAGUGAUCUUUCUUUGUAGCCUUAUUGAGUUUUCGAUAGUCAAUACACAUACGCCACCCAGUGACAAUUCGUUGAGGGAUGAGUUCAUUCUUCUCAUUCCUAACGACCGUCAUUCCUCCUUUCUUUGGCACUACUUGGAUAGGGCUAACCCACUCACUAUGUGGCACAGGAUAAAUAAUCCCAGCACGAUAGAGUUUGAGGACCUCUUUCUUAACAACCUCUCGCAUAGCAUUGUUAAGUCUCCGUUGUGGUUCCCUUGAAGGUGUAGAAUUGGGAUCAAUAGGGAUACGAUGAGUGCAGAGAAUGGGACUAAUGCCCGUGAGAUCCUCGAGAGAGUAGCCAAAAGCUGAUCUAUGUCUUUCAAGAACAGUGACAAGUUGUUGUUUUUCAUAAUCGGAAAGCUUGUCACUGAUAAUUACUGGAGUUUUUGGGUUAUUGUGCAAGAAGACAUAUCUAAGGCCAGAAGGAAGAGGUUUUAAUUCUAUCAAAGGAGGUGAAGGUAGUUUAUUUUUGUCUAGCUCAACGGGUUCUACCAACUCUUCUUCUUCUUGAACAAAGUGUUCAUGAUUAAAGAAUGGUUGGGUCAUCUCCUCUUGAGUCACCAUUAAGACCUCCUCAAUAGGAUCUGGGUCAAGUUUGGGUUCCACUAUCGUGUUAAUUGAUCUAGCAAGAGGAACAACAAUAGUGGAAUUCCCAACCUUGAAAUCUAAAUGACCUCGUUGUGGUUGUUAUUGUAGAAGUUUCAUGAUUGGUCUGCCAAUCAAGAGAGGAAUCUCUGGUAUGUCAAAAAUGUGAAAAUCUAGACAUAUUCCAGAGUCCUUGAUUCUAACAGGAACUGCCCUUAAUACCCCAUGGCUUUCUAGAAUUAAUCUAGAUGGACUUUGUAAAAGUUUUUGAGAUGGGGUUAUGGACUCGUUGGGAUAAAGAGUGCCAGCUAACUCAUUGGAAAUAACAUUUAUCCCAACAUAUGGAUUGUAGUGGACCAUCCUAGGGGACCCUCUAAUUUGGCACAGAAGAAUGGUUGAAGGAGUGAUGAUUCGAGCUACCUCAGGAGACAGCUCAGCUUCUGUUAGCCAUUCAUAACUCAAAAUAGCCGAAAGGCUUUUGAUGUGUUCUAUGUCAACAGAUUCUACUCUUAGAACGGAUUGAGUGGUCCUUACUAGAGGUCGUGUUUGGAUAGGAAAAUUCGAGGUGUUUCCAUAAUCUUCAAAAAGAUCUUCCUCGAAUUCAAAGGGAUGCUCUAAAGGUGGUGGUUCAUCAUCCUUUAGUUGGUUUUGCAUUCCUUUAUCAGAAGGUUUCUCUACAACCAAAUUAAUGGAUGGGUCAGGUGGAAUUUCUAACUCGGUUGCAAGUUCCUCAUCUUUUGGUUUAAGAUCAGGCUCGACUUCUUUUUCUUCUUCAGGAAACUCAUCAUAAAUGCCUGUGUAAGGGGUAUUUUCAAGGAUUCUUUCUAGGAUAGCUUUCCCCUCAUUUGUGAGUUUGUGUGUGAAUGAGCCUCCUGAAGCAAUGUCGAGGUGAAGAGCAGCUUCCUUGUUUAGACCACGAUAAAAGUGGUAGUAUAGUACAUGGUCAGGCAGGGAAAGGUUUGGACCGGAAUUGGUAAGGCUUGUGAACCUAGCCCAAGCUGCUUCUAAAGUUUCCUUCUCUCUUUGUUUGAAUGUAAGAAUUUCAAUUCUAAGAUCAGCAAUUCGAAAAAGUGGGAAGAAAGCGAGACAAAAGUUGUCUCGAAGUUCAUCCCAACUUCCAUUAACGCCUCCUACAGAAUGAGCAUACCACUUUUUUGCUCUUCCUAAAAGGGAGAAUGGAAAUAAUUUCCAUUUAAGGGUUUCUUGUGUCAUGCCAGAAAUAGAUCGGCAAGAGCACAACUGCUCGAAUUCUCUAAGGUGGGUGUAUGGAUCUUCAUCUACUUGCCCAGAGAAGGGUUGCUCCUGAAUCAUGGCUAUUAGAUCAGGGCCGAGGUCGUAGCCAUCUGUAAGAAUUGGAUGUGAUGAUGGUGGUGGCUCUAAUAACUCGCCCUUUGGAGCAGAGAAUUUAUAGAUAGGAGUGAAAUCCAUGUGGUGUGGUGAAAAUGGUAAGGUGAGUGUGGUAAAAAAGGAAAAGAAAAAAGGAUACACGGACGACUUGGUUCGAAACUAGCACAGCUACCGUUCCCCGGCAACGGCGCCAGAAAGCUUGUUGGGUAUUUUAAACGCAAACAGAAAAAUCCGCAAGCGCACGGAUACCGAUGUAGCCUUCACCCGGGAGUAUUCCAGAGUAUCGAUUUUCCACAGAGAACGUGAGUGUACUAAUUAAGAUCCAAGAUCGCCCAAGGAUAACUAUAUAAUUAUUUUUGGUGG